rnacentral:lncRNA from 1 species
AAUCCUGAUUAAAGGGAAAAGUUCAGUUUAGGGUUUAAAACCCUAAUCCUGAUUAAAGGGAAAAGUUCAGUUUAGGGUUUAAAACCUUAAUGAUGACUAAAGGGAAGAGUUUAGUUUAGUGUUUAAAACCCUAAUGCUGACUAAAGGAAAAGAGUUCAGUUUAGAGUUUAAAACCCUAAUGCUGACUGAAUGGAAAAGAGUUUAGUUUAGGGUUUAAAACCCUAAUGCUGACUGAAGGAAAAAAGUUCAGUUUAGGGUUUAAAACCCCAAUGCUGACUGAAGGAAAGAGUUCAGUUUAGGGUUUAAAACCCUAAUGCUGACUGAAGGAAAGAGUUCAGUUUAGGGUUUAAAACCCUAAUGCUGACUACAGGAAAGAGUUCAGUUUAGGGUUUAAAACCCUAAUGUUGACUGAAGGAAAAGAGUUCAGUUUAGGGUUUAAAACCCUAAUGCUGACUACAAGAAAGAGUUCAGUUUAGGGUUUAAAACCCCAAUGCUGACUGAAGGGAAAAGUUC